CCUUUGACCACGCCCCAGCAGUUGGAUCCCUGGCAACCAGGUCCCAACUGCCACAUCCCCCCAGCCAGGCCCCAGCUACUGGACUCCUACCGACCAAGCCCCAAAUUCUGGAUUGCUGACCACCAGGCCCCAACUGCCAGAUAUCUCUAACUAGACCACACUGAUCUGAUCCCCACUGACCAGCCCCCAACUGCUGGACCCCCUCCAACCAGGCCCCAACUAGGAGACCCCCACUUAUCAGGCCCCAACUGCCAGACCUCACUGACCAACCCCCAACUCCCAGGACACCCACUGACCAGGCCCCAAUCGCUGAUCCCUGUCAAACAGACCCCAACUGCCACAUCCCGCUAAACAGUCCCCCGCUGUCAUGUCCCCUCUGCCCAGGCUACAAUUGCUGGACUCCCUCCAACCAGGCCCCAACUAGGAGACCCCUGCUGACCAGGCCCCAAUGUCCAGACCUCAUUGACCAGGCCACCCUGAUCUGAGACUCACUUCCCAGGCCCCACCUGCUGGACCCCCAUAGACAAGACUGCAACGGCCAGAUCUCUGCUCACCAGGCCCCAACUUCAAGACCCACUUGUCAGGCCCCAACUGUGGGACCCCUGCUAGGCAGCCAGGGCCCAACUACUGGACCCUCACUGUCCACGCCCCAACCGCAGGACCUGACUAGGUCUCACUGAUCAGAUCCCUGCUGACCUUGCCCCAGCUGCAGACCCCUGUCUGUUGCAGAAUAUUUUGUAGACAGAAGAGACCAAUGUGUGAAACAGGAGGAUUUUAUUGAGGUGGACACUGGCUCAGCGGACCAGCAUCCCAAGGCUGAGCGCCUAACAGAGACAGGGCUUGACUUUCUAUACAUCCAGGAUGAUGUAGCAGCUAACAGGUUUCCAGAAGCCAGAAAAAAGAAGAGUCCAUUAAUUUGUAACAUGUCUUGUGAUGUACGUUACAUUUGAAAACAGCAUUUUGAGAAACGCCUUGCACAUCCUUUGGGUGUUAUUUGCCCUGUGACCUUGCAGCUGGUCAGCAAGAAGAACAGGAGUCUUGAGAUGCCGGGAACUUGCUGAGAACAUGGGGAGGAUAGGAGGGCCCCAACUGCUGGACCCCACCGACCAGGCCCCAGCUGCCAGCCCUCUGCUGACCAGGCCCUAAGAACUGCCAGCCCCUGCUGACCAGGCCCUAAGAACUGCCAGCCCUCUGCUGACCAGGCCCUAAGAACUGCCAGCACCUGCUGACCAGGCCCUAAGAACUGCCAGCCCCUGCUGACCAGGCCCUAAGAACUGCCAGCCCCUGCUGACCAGGCCCUAAGAACUGCCAGCCCCUGCUGACCAGGCCCUAAGAACUGCCAGCCCCUGCUGACCAGGCCCUAAGAACUGCCAGCACCUGCUGACCAGGCCCUAAGAACUGCCAGCCCUCUGCUGACCAGGCCCUAAGAACUGCCAGCACCUGCUGACCAGGCCCUAAGAACUGCCAGCCCCUGCUGACCAGGUCUCACUGGUCAGAUGCCCACUAAACAGUCCCCUGCUGACCAGACCCCACUGGCCAGACCUUCCAUGAUCUGACCCUCAUUGAAUGGAUCCCACUGAGCAGAUCACCAUUACCAUGCCCUCACCAACCAACACCCAGUGAGUAGGCUUCUGAUGACCAGGCCCACACUUCCAGGGCGCUAGUGACCAGGUCACCAUGACAAGGCCCCAUUGACCCAAACCCUGCUGACUGGUCCCAGCUGGCCAGUAUCUCAAUGGCAAGGUCACUGCCAACAAUGCCCCUUCCAACCAGGCCACUGCUGACCAGGGCCCCGCUGACCAUGGCCCCGCUGGGGGGAGUCCUUCAGUGGUACUGUAUUGGCUGACCACACCCCUGGAUGGCCAGGCCUCUGCUGACACAGUCCCCACAGAACAUGUCCCCAGAGACCGGGUCCCAGAUAACCAAAUCCUGCGGACCGGGGUCACUGACCAGGCCACACUGGUCAUGCUUCCAAUGGCAAGGCCUUCACUGACUGACCAGUCCACGCUGCCAGGCCGCAGCUGAGUAGCCCACAAUCAUGAGGUUCCCACUGACCAGGUGCUAAUCCCCCACGCUACUAACUAGAUUCUACUCUUCAGGUCCUGCUGACCAGACCCCCAGAGGCCGGGUUGCCACUGAACAAAACACCACUCCCUUUGCCCCCACUGACUAGGUUUUUGUUUUGUUUUCUUUUGUUUUUUUUGAGAUGGAGCCUCACUCUGUCACCUAGGCUGGAGUGCAGUGGCGGGAUCUCGGCUCACUACAACCUCUGCCUCCUGGGUUCAAGAGGUUCUCCUGCCUCAGCCUCUGGAGUAGCUGGGAUUACAGGCACGAGCCACCACGCCUGGCUAAUUUUAAAUUUUUAGUAGAGAUGGGGUUUCACCAUGCUGGCCAGGCUGGUCUUGAGCUCCUGACCUCCGGUGAUCCACUUGCCUUGGCUUCCCAAAGCGCUGGGAUUAUAGGCGUGAGCCACUGACCCACCGGCCCACUGACUAGGUUUUUACAGAUAAGGCUCGUACUGAGUAGACCGCAGUGACCCAUUCCUCACUGAGCAAAACCCCAGACUUAGGCCCUGCUGACCGGGCUUCCCCUGAACAGGCCCGCACUGAGAAGACUCCGGCUGACCAGGUCACCACAGACAAGGCCCCCAGUGACUAUUCCACUGACCACGCGUUUGAUGACCAGGCCCCCACUGACCACCAGAGUGAAUGACCAGGGCAAAGUGUCAGAUCAUCCAAGUUUAUUGAGCCAAUGUGAAGAGGACCCAUUGGGGAAAAUGGUUUGGAAGUAGGAACCACUCCGUCAUUGCGAUUCUCUCCUCUCUUCUUGUUGAAUUAAAUUCCUAAUUUCAAAAUGCAAAUGAAAGUAAAUAAAAGCAUUGGGGAACGACCUUGCCCUGUAGUAUGAAAGGGGAAGAUUCUCAAGCACAACAGCCUCCGAUGAAAUUGCCACAGCUCCACCUAGAAGAGAGAUGUGAGACUUCGGAUGCUAAAUUGACCAGCACCCUAGCAUCAAUCCCAUGUUCUGUCAGCAGACCAGGAAGUGUCCAUGACCAUGGACAGAAAAUCAUGUUUGGAAAGGAAGCUUGCUGCUCAAUCCCUUCUGUGCCCCUCUGCCUGAGAUCUCUCCCCCACCAUUUUAUUUGUUGAUAAGCUAUCCAGACAACGUUCUUCCUGUACUGAGCCAGGAAGGAAAUGUGUGAGAUUUGAUGGAGGCAGUUUUCUUUUAAGACUUGGAACCAACCCAAAUGCCCAUCAAUAAUAGACUGGAUAAAGAAAAUGUGGCACAUAUACACAGUGAAAUACUAUGCAGUCAUAAAAAAGGAUGACUUCAUGUCCUUUGCAGAGACAUGGAUGAAACUGGAAACCAUCAUUCUCGGCAAACUGACACAAGAACAAAUAAAAUAAAAUAAAAUAAAAUAAAAUAAAAUAAAAUAAAAUAAAAUAAAAAAACAAAAAAUGGAAAAAAAGAACUAGUGGAGAAUAUUUGUGAAAAGUUGUGUCAAGUGGAGAAUAUUUGUGUAGA